GCCCUCCCCCCUGCAGCUGGCUGAGUUCUUUGCAGACAGAGACAGGGACAAGAAUCAUCCGUCAGAAAGCUCCAGGCUCAUCUCAGCAGCUUUUGCAUUUUUAUCUCAGCAAGGAACCUGUCCAAAUUUACUUUCUCCACCCUUCUUAUGUCCGAGGGCUUGGUUUCCUCAGCCAGUUUCCUGUCUGCUCAGGGGAGAUUUUCCUGAGAAGAGCCCACUGCCUUUCUACUGCUCGGCCAUGUUCCUGUUGCUCAUCUUAACACUGGGGAUAUUUGCCCCGCGAGACACCGGAGCCCAGUCAGUGACGCAGCCUGAUGUCCAUGUCACUGUCUCUGAAGGAGCCCCUCUGGAGCUGAGGUGCAACUAUUCCUCAAGUGGAAUUCCUUAUCUCUUCUGGUACAUGCAGCACCCCAACCAAGGACUCCAGUUUCUACUGAAGUACUUCUCAGGGGACACUCUGGUUAAAGGCAUCAAAGGUUUUGAGGCUGAAUUUAAGAACCAUGAAACCACCUUCCACCUGAGGAAAUCCCGAGCCCUUGGCAGCGAUGCGGCCAAGUACUUCUGUGCUGUGCGUGACACAGUGUCUGGGACUGCAGGGGGAGCUGAACACAAACCACCAUGGUAGGGGAGUUUUUGGAGACUGACGGUCUCUUCCUGUGGUAUUAUUAGAGAUCUCUUGCUGUAUGAUGCCAAAUGAGGCAAAUAGAGCUGAGCAGACUUAGCUAUUUCUAUAUAAUUCUACAACUCCAUGUCUGAUAAACUUAAUUUAGCAGGUUUUUGGUCUUUGUAGAAACUACAUGAUAAUAAAUAGUAUUACAGAAUGAUGGAGAAGAUAGUGUUCUGAUCAUACAAUACCAAGAUGCUCAAAGACUGGCCUUGAGGUUGACUGCCUACAAGGUUAACUAUAUGAAUUUUCAUUUAUCAUUUCUUCUGUCAGCCAACCCAGAAAACAAAACAUGAACUCCUCAUGUUCUUUCCCUGAAAAGUUUGCCUGCUUGUUUUUCUAUUCAUUCACAGAUCAUUUUCUUGGAAUUCACCCCCUCCCCCCCCAAC